GAUGAACGCUGGCGGCGUGCUUAACACAUGCAAGUCGAACGGAAAGGCUCCUGCUUGCAGGGGUACUCGAGUGGCGAACGGGUGAGUAACACGUGGGUGAGCUGCCCUGCACUUCGGGAUAAGCCUGGGAAACUGGGUCUAAUACCGGAUAGGACGAUGGGUUGGAUGCCAUUGUGGAAAGUUUUUCGGUGUGGGAUGAGCUCGCGGCCUAUCAGCUUGUUGGUGGGGUAAUGGCCUACCAAGGCGUCGACGGGUAGCCGGCCUGAGAGGGUGUACGGCCACAUUGGGACUGAGAUACGGCCCAGCCUCCUACGGGAGGCAGCAGUGGGGAAUAUUGCACAAUGGGCGCAAGCCUGAUGCAGCGACGCCGCGUGGGGGAUGACGGCCUUCGGGUUGUAAACUCCUUUCGCUAGGGACGAAGCGCAAGUGACGGUACCUGGAGAAGAAGCACCGGCUAACUACGUG
rnacentral:rRNA from 1 species